CACACUUUCAAACUAAUACCAGAGCUAGUUGUUUGGAAGGUAAACACUCCUAAGGUUAUGAGUUCGAGAAAAGGCCAUUUCAAGAAAUCUAUCAACAAAAAUAUUAGAUUACUAUUCAAGUCUAAACUUACCUUUUUCCCCCCAGUAUUCCAUUCUUGCAAGAACAAAUGAGAAAAGGUCAAUUAUUAAACAAAAUGUCAUAAAGAAGGAACUCAAAGUAUUACAGUUCAAAGUCUAACCUCUCUUCGUGCACAAGAGUCAACUCCUCAAACCUCAGAAGAAAGGCUUCCAAUUAUGCCUAUGCCUGCACAAAGGACGUUUCUAGUUUAAUUUGCUCUGUUUAUUCUGUAUGUUGAAUAAAAUUAAUUAAAAGUCGGAGUCGCAACAACCCCACACUUAAAACUGAAGCAUACAUACAAGUUAAGCUCAGACUGAACGUUAAACCGUCCCUUUUUAGGCUGCUGGUCUACGCUUAAGUUUGGCCUUUCGGGGUCUCGGACCACUCUCCACUUGGGCCUGGGAAUGAAGGUCGAAGGAGGUGUUCUCUUUUGGACUCUCGACCCAUGCUCCAGUUGGGCCUUUUGGGCGUGAAGGGGUAGUUAGAGGUCCACAUUGAUUGACAAUGAAGUAGUGGUCUGAUUUCACGAAAAAUGAAUACUCCAAUUCAAGGCAGCUGAUCAUCCUUACCAUGUGAUGUGCUCUAGAAAAGAAUUGGCUGGAGUUGUUGAUCAAUUAUGUCAUGAUGCAGUAGUGAGUUUGCACACUCCCUCCCCCAUACCAAGAAAUAGGAAAAGAGAGAAGAAGAAAGGAAUACCAAACAUGUCACUUAACUGAAGUUCAAUUUUUUAUAGCUCUCUCCUUUUUCUUCAUUUAUUAAAUUAUUCUUAUGCUGGUCCAAGAGCAUCGAGCACCUUUCAAUUGCUCAUUGCCAGCCUGACUAUUGUAUGUACACUCUUAAAGUGUACUGCGGAUUUUCUUGAA